rnacentral:rRNA from 1 species
GGUGCAAGCGUUGUCCGGAAUAUUGGGUGUAAAGGGUGCGUAGGCUGGCAUCUAAGUCUGGGGUGAAAUCUUGCCGCUUAACGGUAAAAUUGCCCUGGAUACUGGAUGUCUUGAAUCUGACAGAGGUCGGUGGAAUUCGUGGUGUAGCGGUGAAAUGCAUAGAUAUCACGAAGAACACCAGUGGCGAAGGCGGCCGGCUGGGUCAGUAUUGACGCUGAGGCACGAGAGCGUGGGGAGCGAACAGGAUUAGAUACCCUGGUAGUCCACGCUGUAAACGAUGUAUGCUAGUUGUUGGGCUUUCGGGCUCAGUGACGCAGUUAACGCAGUAAGCAUACCACCUGGGGAGUACGUUCGCAAGAAUGAAACUCAAAGGAAUUGACGGGGGCCCGCACAAGCGGUGGAGCAUGUGGCUUAAUUCGAUGCAACGCGAAGAACCUUACCCGGGCUAAAUCCACGAUGACCGGUCCCGAAAGGACCUUCCCUUCGGGGCAUCAUGGAAGGUGCUGCAUGGCUGUCGUCAGCUUCUGCCGUGAGGUGUUGCCUUAAGUGGCGCAACGAGCGCAACCCUCGUCCUUAGUUGCCAGCACGUAAUGGUGGGGACUCUAGAGAGACUGCCCCGGUCAACGGGGAGGAAGGUGGAGAUGACGUCAAGUCCUCAUGGCCCUUAUGUCCAGGGCUACACACGUGCUACAAUGGGCAGUACAGAGGGUAGCAACACUGUGAAGUGAAGCAAAUCCCGGAAAACUGUUCUCAGUUCGGAUUGGAGUCUGCAACUCGACUCCAUGAAGUUGGAAUCGCUAGUAAUCGUGGAUCAGCAUGCCACGGUGAAUACGUUCCCGGGCCUUGUACACACCGCCCGUCACACCAUGAGAGUUGGUUGUACCAGAAGUUGUCGGGCUAACCCUUCGGGGAGGCAGGCACCUAAGGUA